CCCCGGCGGAGCGCGCCCGGCUCGGGGGGACAGCGGCUGCCGGCGCCGCGGCCGCCAGCGGCUCUGCCGCGCUGCUCGCCCGCUUACAAGUAGCUUUUUUUAUUAUUAUUUUUGCUUUUGCUUUAGGGCCUUUUAUUAUUAUUAUUUCUUUCGUUGUUUUUCGCAAGCGGGCCGGUGGCUCCUUGCCAUGAGCAGCCCGAAGGCAGCAUGAAAGCGGGCAGGCGCGGCUAUCCCGCCCGCUCCGGUGUAGGAUGGCUCCUGGCGAAGUGCUGCUGCUGCUCCUGCACAGGGGCUGUCAGAGCCUGAAUAAUUUAAGAGUGAACAAAUGAGAGACGUUCAUGGAGGACUCUGUUCUUACCUAGGCACAAAUUGACAAGCAUGUAGAUUGCCUUGGGUUUCCACUGCACCUACCACAACUUUACUAAGAGAAAAGUCCCCUUUUCUAAACAUCUGUGUCACUCUUGCUUAGUAAAGUUAUUCAAGAUCAGCGCCUUUGGAAUUGGUUGGUAAAUGGACAAAGACUUUCUCUUUGCCUGGAGCUCCUCACAGCCUCCAAGUACCAAAGAGAACUCCACAGCACUAGAAAGCAAGAGGCAGCUGCUGAAUGUUGGAAGCUACUGCAUUUGGCAAAAGAAGCUGAUGCAAAGAUGCACACAGUUGUGUUUGUUUGUUCUGCUUGUUUUCUGUGCUUUCCGAGCCCUCUGUGUGCCUGGAAAGUUUAAUAACUUAUCCCUUCUUUCUCAACAUGCAGUUUUUCUUCCUAUCCCAAAAAGCUUUGGGUUCUGUUCUUGCUUUUUUUUUAUUUUUCCAAUUCCAAGUUUGUCACUGAUACUCUUCUGUUGUUUCCAUGGAGAAUUGUUUGGGUACAUAGCCACAGCUUCCUUUGAGAUAGGGAGACCUAAAUAUGAUACUCAAACAUCAUUGUCUUCCCUCCUCUCCCCCCAUUUAGCAGAGUGGUCCACCUAGUCACAGAGGUUGCUGACUUCAAGUAUAAGGCAAGGGUUGACCUUAGCAAUGAUGUCAUUUAACUGAGUAAUUACUUCAAAAUUCUUACAGUAGCUCAAUUUGGAAGCUGCUGAAUGAAGCUGACCCUUGACACUUGACAAAAGAAUAAGGCUUGUGUUUUACUAACAGCUGCUUGGAAACCAUGUGUAAUAAAGUUUGUUUUUGUGCCCAACAUCCAGGAUAAAAGAUGGCAUUUGCUGACUCUGGUACCCUUACGCUCCCAGAAGAGCAGAACUGCUUUGAUCAAAGUUUAAAAGUCUGCUUCUGUGUGGGUGUCUAAGCAUUUCACAGUUCCUUAUGCUAAAAGUAACAGUGUACUUGCAAAGGCCAGCAAAUGCUGCUCUCGUUCAGCUUCAAACACAUUACAUUUUCCUCCUUGUCAUCCCAUAUAGCUUUUCAUAGAGUUUCAGGGUUAAAACUUUUUUUAUGGAAGAUGCAAAAAUCUCCCAUCAAAAUAUAUCAAGGGGGAUUUUUGCUUUGUGUUUGGGGCUUUGUUAUUUUUGCUGCUAGCGACUUAUUCUGGAAACUUCAGGUUUGGAGAUGAUUUUAUUUUUGUCACAGAAUGAGGACAGUGUAAAUACAAAAUGUAAAGUAGAACUGA